UACAGAGGUCUCAAGCGUUGUUCGGAUUCAUUGGGCGUAAAGGGUGCGUAGGCGGCGCGGUAAGUCGGGUGUGAAAUCUCGGGGCUUAACUCCGAAACUGCAUUCGAUACUGCCGUGCUUGAGGACUGGAGAGGAGACUGGAAUUUACGGUGUAGCGGUGAAAUGCGUAGAUAUCGUAAGGAAGACCAGUGGCGAAGGCGGGUCUCUGGACAGCUCCUGACGCUGAGGCACGAAGGCCAGGGGAGCAACCGGG
rnacentral:rRNA from 1 species